UCUCUAUUAGUAUAAUGGCAUUGCACCUACCUGCAGAAGGGGGAGAUUCUGGUUCGAAUCCAGGAUAGAGAA
rnacentral:tRNA from 1 species